UCCCUGAGACCCUUUAACCUGUGA
rnacentral:ncRNA from 18 species